GACGAACGCUGGCGGCGUGCUUAACACAUGCAAGUCGAACGGAAAGGCCCUGCUUUUGUGGGGUGCUCGAGUGGCGAACGGGUGAGUAACACGUGAGUAACCUGCCCUUGACUUUGGGAUAACUUCAGGAAACUGGGGCUAAUACCGGAUAGGAGCUCCUGCUGCAUGGUGGGGGUUGGAAAGUUUCGGCGGUUGGGGAUGGACUCGCGGCUUAUCAGCUUGUUGGUGGGGUAGUGGCUUACCAAGGCUUUGACGGGUAGCCGGCCUGGGAGGGUGACCGGCCACAUUGGGACUGAGAUAGGGACCAGACUCCUACGGGAGGCAGCAGUGGGGAAUAUUGCACAAUGGGCGGAAGCCUGAUGCAGCAACGCCGCGUGCGGGAUGCCGGCCUUCGGGUUGUAAACCGCUUUCGCCUGUGACGAAGCGUGAGUGACGGUAAUGGGUAAAGAAGCACCGGCUAACUACGUG
rnacentral:rRNA from 1 species